rnacentral:rRNA from 1 species
GAUCAUGGCUCAGGAUGAACGCUAGCGGGAGGCCUAACACAUGCAAGCCGAGCGGUAUUUAUUCUUCGGAAUAGAGAGAGCGGCGUACGGGUGCGGAACACGUGUGCAACCUGCCUUUAUCAGGGGGAUAGCCUUUCGAAAGGAAGAUUAAUACCCCAUAAUAUAUUGAAUGGCAUCAUUUGAUAUUGAAAACUCCGGUGGAUAGAGAUGGGCACGCGCAAGAUUAGAUAGUUGG